rnacentral:rRNA from 1 species
UACAGAGGGUGCAAGCGUUAAUCGGAAUUACUGGGCGUAAAGCGUGCGUAGACGGUUGCGUAAGUCAGACGUGAAAUCCCCAGGCUCAACCUGGGAACUGCGUCUGAUACUGGAUGGCUUGAAUCCGGGAGAGGGAUGCAGAAUUCCAGGUGUAGCGGUGAAAUGCGUAGAUAUCUGGAGGAAUACCGGUGGCGAAGGCGGCAUCCUGGACCGGCAUUGACGCUGAGGAGCGAAAGCUAGGGGAGCAAACGGG